UCUUUAGGAACUCAGCAUGCUUAGGGUCAAUAUUUAACGAUUAACAAAUUCUAAUAGAGAAACAAGUUAAUGACGUUAGUUGUUGUGAUCUCGAACCUUCUGUAAACAGCUGUUAUUGUAAAAAUAAGUGAAAAUUCGAAUUCUUAGGGAUUUUGAGAUGUAAUUUCCUAUUUUAGUGCUGAUCUAAUUUUAUCAAUUACUUCGAAAAUUUUUAUCUGUUGAUCUAGUAACAGUUUUCGAAAAAUUUCUAAGAGUUAAAACAGGUCAAAACAUGGAAAAACACUCAAUAAUCCAAAUCAUAUUCCAAAACAUAAAGGAAUUUCGAAUUUUCUAAGAACACAUGAUGAACCCUAAAAAAUAAAAACAUGAUUCUGGAACCCGAAACCUGAAAAUUAAUGUUUUUAUACAUAUUUUGGACAUAAAAAUUAACCCAUUUGAUUUCGAGUUAUAUAAAACACGUUCUUUUCCUUUCUUUUUUUCCGAAACAGUGGAAUUGGGACAUAUGACUCGAAACCGGCCAUGAAUUUUAUUAGGUUUUCAAAAUCUGUUUUCCAGAUUUCAAUCCCAGAAUAUGUUGGCGGUAAUUCCCGACUCAUCACAAGUCGGUGAUGUGAAAGGGUGACAAAGGAGUUCAAGUCACAAGUCGGUGAACUUGAGGGAUCAAUGUUGACAAGUUGGUCAUAUAAUGUCUUGGUCACCAAGUUAGGGGUAGCCUAUAUAAACCAAGCUAGGGUUAGGCAUUAUUAA
rnacentral:lncRNA from 1 species